GUGUCCCUGCUCCCCAGUGCUCAGCUGUGGCAGGGGGCCUCAGGCAGGACAUACAGUAUCUGCCUCUCAGUUUAGGAGGGCUGUCCUAAGCACUGGACUGGCUCUUAAAGGCACGAGAGGACAUU
rnacentral:snoRNA from 1 species